ACCAUAAAUUGCGUCUUCUAACAUUUUACCAUUAUUAAUGGUUGAAACUACAGAAGGUAUUUGGGAUUCCUCUUUAUAUCCACAUUUAGUUAUCUUACAAAACACUCAGUUGUUUGUCCUUCUCCAUAGAUGUAUUUGUGUGAGAAGUGCCUAUGCUCCUUUGUGUGCACAUGCAAACAGGAGUCAAGAUAUCACUUCUCUUAUCCCUGGGAAGAGUUUUUUUUCUCACUGUCUCAGCUUCCUAACCUUCCACGAAUUCCUUACAUCAUAACAUCUGAUGAGGCCCUUUUCGGUGUCCUUGCUUUAACCCCCCACCCUUUCCUUCCAGUCCUACUUAGUAUUCUGUGUUCUGAAUUUCACAUCUCAUUUCUUUCAGCCUGUGUACUCUGACCUUGUCCACCCAGGUAGCUCAUCUACCAUGUAUGAGAAUCCCUCAACUCAUAAGUCCAGCCAUGAUAUUCUUUCCAAAGGAACAGAACCUGCUUCCUACUACACUUGUGAUAACCUCACUUUAAGAAAUGCUCCAUUAUUUUCAAAGAAGGCAGUUUCUCAAGAAGCUAAACACAGUCACCAUAUGACCCAGCAAUUCCACCUCUAGAUGUACAUCUAAAAGAAGUGGAAACAUGAGUGGACAAAAACUUGUUCAUGCACAUUCACAGAGGCACUGUUUACUGUAGUUAAAAGAUGGAAAUGUCUAACAACUAAUGAAUAUAUAAAUAAAAUGUGAUUUAUUAACAUAGUAGAUAUGGCAAUAAAAAUGAAGUAUCAACAUAUGCUACAAUAUGGACAAACCUUGAAAAUAUGCUAAAUGUAAGAAACCAUUUACAAAAGGCCACAAAUUGUUUGAUUCAUUUUUUCUUUUUCUCUCUUUUUUUCCUUCAGUACUGGUAUCAAACCCACUGAGUUGCAUCCGCAAUUCUUGCUAUUUUUCUUUAGAAAGAACUCAAAACCAAUAGAAGACUAUGUUAUUGGUUUGAACUGAGCCUACUGGAUAUUCCAUUUUGUGGGAAACUAUGAAAGAUCUUUUAGUAGAUUGCUACUAAAUUACUGAAGAUAUUAAUUUCAAUAUAUUGGUACUUUUGUUGGUUCAAGGAAAACAAUUUGAUCUCU
rnacentral:lncRNA from 1 species